UGUUCUGUGGCUUAGUUAGUUAAAGCGCUGGACUAGCGAUACGGGGUCCUGGGUUCGAAUUCUACCAAAACAA
rfam:Aedes albopictus isolate Foshan contig108970, whole genome shotgun sequence.